UAAUACGGAGGGAGCUAGCGUUAUUCGGAAUUACUGGGCGUAAAGCGCACGUAGGCGGCUUUGUAAGUAAGAGGUGAAAGCCCAGAGCUCAACUCUGGAAUUGCCUUUUAGACUGCAUCGCUUGAAUCAUGGAGAGGUCAGUGGAAUUCCGAGUGUAGAGGUGGAAUUCGUAGAUAUUCGGAAGAACACCAGUGGCGAAGGCGGCUGACUGGACAUGUAUUGACGCUGAGGCGCGAAAGCUAGGGGAGCAAACGGGA
rnacentral:rRNA from 1 species